rnacentral:rRNA from 1 species
UACGUAGGGUGCGAGCGUUGUCCGGAAUUAUUGGGCGUAAAGAGCUUGUAGGCGGUUUGUCGCGUCUGCUGUGAAAAUCCGGGGCUCAACCCCGGACUUGCAGCGGGUACGGGCAGACUAGAGUGUGGUAGGGGAGACUGGAAUUCCUGGUGUAGCGGUGAAAUGCGCAGAUAUCAGGAGGAACACCGAUGGCGAAGGCAGGUCUCUGGGCCACUACUGACGCUGAGAAGCGAAAGCAUGGGGAGCGAACAGG